rnacentral:tRNA from 1 species
GUAUCUAUAGUAUAUUAUUACAUUAGCCUUUCACGUUAAAAAUACACCUGUGUGUUAGAUACA